UACAGAGGUCUCAAGCGUUGUUCGGAUUCAUUGGGCGUAAAGGGUGCGUAGGUGGCGCGUUAAGUCAGGUGUGAAAUUUCGGAGCUUAACUCCGAAACUGCAUUUGAUACUGGCGUGCUUGAGGACUGGAGAGGAGACUGGAAUUCAUGGUGUAGCAGUGAAAUGCGUAGAGAUCAUGAGGAAGACCAGUGGCGAAGGCGGGUCUCUGGACAGUUCCUGACGCUGAGGCACGAAGGCCAGGGGAGCAAACGGG
rnacentral:rRNA from 1 species